rnacentral:rRNA from 1 species
UAAGCGACUAAGCGUACACGGUGGAUGCCCUGGCAGUCAGAGGCGAUGAAGGACGUGCUAAUCUGCGAUAAGCGUCGGUAAGGUGAUAUGAACCGUUAUAACCGGCGAUUUCCGAAUGGGGAAACCCAGUGUGAUUCGUCACACUAUCAUUAACUGAAUCCAUAGGUUAAUGAGGCGAACCGGGGGAACUGAAACAUCUAAGUACCCCGAGGAAAAGAAAUCAACCGAGAUUCCCCCAGUAGCGGCGAGCGAACGGGGAGCAGCCCAGAGCCUGAAUCAGUGUGUGUGUUAGUGGAAGCGUCUGGAAAGGCGUGCGAUACAGGGUGACAGCCCCGUACACAAAAAUGCACAUAUUGUGAGCUCGAUGAGUAGGGCGGGACACGUGGUAUCCUGUCUGAAUAUGGGGGGACCAUCCUCCAAGGCUAAAUACUCCUGACUGACCGAUAGUGAACCAGUACCGUGAGGGAAAGGCGAAAAGAACCCCGGCGAGGGGAGUGAAAAAGAACCUGAAACCGUGUACGUACAAGCAGUGGGAGCACGCUUAGGCGUGUGACUGCGUACCUUUUGUAUAAUGGGUCAGCGACUUAUAUUCUGUAGCAAGGUUAACCGAAUAGGGGAGCCGAAGGGAAACCGAGUCUUAACUGGGCGUUAAGUUGCAGGGUAUAGACCCGAAACCCGGUGAUCUAGCCAUGGGCAGGUUGAAGGUUGGGUAACACUAACUGGAGGACCGAACCGACUAAUGUUGAAAAAUUAGCGGAUGACUUGUGGCUGGGGGUGAAAGGCCAAUCAAACCGGGAGAUAGCUGGUUCUCCCCGAAAGCUAUUUAGGUAGCGCCUCGUGAAUUCAUCUCCGGGGGUAGAGCACUGUUUCGGCAAGGGGGUCAUCCCGACUUACCAACCCGAUGCAAACUGCGAAUACCGGAGAAUGUUAUCACGGGAGACACACGGCGGGUGCUAACGUCCGUCGUGAAGAGGGAAACAACCCAGACCGCCAGCUAAGGUCCCAAAGUCAUGGUUAAGUGGGAAACGAUGUGGGAAGGCCCAGACAGCCAGGAUGUUGGCUUAGAAGCAGCCAUCAUUUAAAGAAAGCGUAAUAGCUCACUGGUCGAGUCGGCCUGCGCGGAAGAUGUAACGGGGCUAAACCAUGCACCGAAGCUGCGGCAGCGACGCUGAUGCGUUGUUGGGUAGGGGAGCGUUCUGUAAGCCUGUGAAGGUGUGCUGUGAGGCAUGCUGGAGGUAUCAGAAGUGCGAAUGCUGACAUAAGUAACGAUAAAGCGGGUGAAAAGCCCGCUCGCCGGAAGACCAAGGGUUCCUGUCCAACGUUAAUCGGGGCAGGGUGAGUCGACCCCUAAGGCGAGGCCGAAAGGCGUAGUCGAUGGGAAACAGGUUAAUAUUCCUGUACUUGGUGUUACUGCGAAGGGGGGACGGAGAAGGCUAUGUUGGCCGGGCGACGGUUGUCCCGGUUUAAGCGUGUAGGCUGGUUUUCCAGGCAAAUCCGGAAAAUCAAGGCUGAGGCGUGAUGACGAGGCACUACGGUGCUGAAGCAACAAAUGCCCUGCUUCCAGGAAAAGCCUCUAAGCAUCAGGUAACAUCAAAUCGUACCCCAAACCGACACAGGUGGUCAGGUAGAGAAUACCAAGGCGCUUGAGAGAACUCGGGUGAAGGAACUAGGCAAAAUGGUGCCGUAACUUCGGGAGAAGGCACGCUGAUAUGUAGGUGAAGUCCCUCGCGGAUGGAGCUGAAAUCAGUCGAAGAUACCAGCUGGCUGCAACUGUUUAUUAAAAACACAGCACUGUGCAAACACGAAAGUGGACGUAUACGGUGUGACGCCUGCCCGGUGCCGGAAGGUUAAUUGAUGGGGUUAGCGCAAGCGAAGCUCUUGAUCGAAGCCCCGGUAAACGGCGGCCGUAACUAUAACGGUCCUAAGGUAGCGAAAUUCCUUGUCGGGUAAGUUCCGACCUGCACGAAUGGCGUAAUGAUGGCCAGGCUGUCUCCACCCGAGACUCAGUGAAAUUGAACUCGCUGUGAAGAUGCAGUGUACCCGCGGCAAGACGGAAAGACCCCGUGAACCUUUACUAUAGCUUGACACUGAACAUUGAGCCUUGAUGUGUAGGAUAGGUGGGAGGCUUUGAAGUGUGGACGCCAGUCUGCAUGGAGCCGACCUUGAAAUACCACCCUUUAAUGUUUGAUGUUCUAACGUGGACCCGUAAUCCGGGUUGCGGACAGUGUCUGGUGGGUAGUUUGACUGGGGCGGUCUCCUCCUAAAGAGUAACGGAGGAGCACGAAGGUUGGCUAAUCCUGGUCGGACAUCAGGAGGUUAGUGCAAUGGCAUAAGCCAGCUUGACUGCGAGCGUGACGGCGCGAGCAGGUGCGAAAGCAGGUCAUAGUGAUCCGGUGGUUCUGAAUGGAAGGGCCAUCGCUCAACGGAUAAAAGGUACUCCGGGGAUAACAGGCUGAUACCGCCCAAGAGUUCAUAUCGACGGCGGUGUUUGGCACCUCGAUGUCGGCUCAUCACAUCCUGGGGCUGAAGUAGGUCCCAAGGGUAUGGCUGUUCGCCAUUUAAAGUGGUACGCGAGCUGGGUUUAGAACGUCGUGAGACAGUUCGGUCCCUAUCUGCCGUGGGCGCUGGAGAAUUGAGGGGGGCUGCUCCUAGUACGAGAGGACCGGAGUGGACGCAUCACUGGUGUUCGGGUUGUCAUGCCAAUGGCACUGCCCGGUAGCUAAAUGCGGAAGAGAUAAGUGCUGAAAGCAUCUAAGCACGAAACUUGCCCCGAGAUGAGUUCUCCCUGACUCCUUGAGAGUCCUGAAGGAACGUUGAAGACGACGACGUUGAUAGGCCGGGUGUGUAAGCGCAGCGAUGCGUUGAGCUAACCGGUACUAAUGAACCGUGAGGCUUAACCU